rnacentral:rRNA from 1 species
UACGGGGGGAGCAAGCGUUGUUCGGAUUUACUGGGCGUAAAGGGCGCGUAGGCGGCCACCGCAAGUCGACUGUGAAAUCUCCGGGCUUAACCCGGAAAGGUCAGCCGAUACUGCGGGACUAGAGUGCAGAAGGGGCAACUGGAAUUCUCGGUGUAGCGGUGAAAUGCGUAGAUAUCGAGAGGAACACCUGCGGCGAAGGCGGGUUGCUGGGCUGACACUGACGCUGAUGCGCGAAAGCUAGGGGAGCGAACGGG